CAGAAGACCAUAUUCCCUGGAUGGAUGAGC
rnacentral:piRNA from 1 species